AAAGUCUAGGUAAGAGAAAGGCAUGAUAUAAAGUUUGAGCUGCUGUUUAUCUUGUUCCUACUACACUAAAUUCUGGAGAUUUAUUUUGAAAACUUACAAAUCACAUGAUGAGUUCCUAGCAUUACAAACUACCUACCACAGCCAUACUUGCUAUAACAUCUUUUACUUAUAUUCACAUUGAGUUUGAUCGAGCUGUGUAGACCCUUAGGAGCUUUUCAUGUGGUUAAAUUAAGAUAUUCACUUGCACACAUCUACUACACCAUCCACCAUCAUUCAUUAAAAUUGCUAAAAAUAUUAUCACUCACUGUCCCAAAUAUUGUUAUUCUCUCUCUCUAAAAGAUUCAAUGCAGAAGAGGCAUGGGUUAUGUAAAAAUAUGCGAGGAAAUAAAAAGGGGCAAGUGCCCGGAACCUUGGAAAAGAAAAAAAAGAGUGAGACGAGAGGUAAAAAUGGACAACUGUCCGGAGUAGAAUUAGGGGUACAAAGAUGCCCACUUGAGCGGAAAAAAUGGACAAGUGUCCGACAGUAGAAUUAGGGGUAUCUACUACCCACCUGAAAAAAAAGAGAGAGAAAAGAUAGCCCAUGUUCUCCCAAAGCAAAGAUCAAAGAAGAGGAGAGAUAGCAAUAUGAGGAGCAAUGAGAAGUAAGUUUAUUAUCACUUAUACAUUUUUACCAUCACUAUCAUUUACCCCACCACACAUGCACAUCUUGAUUUAAUUAUAUGCUGAGUUUCUUUGGAUCUAUGGCUCGAUUAGACAACAUAUAUAUGAGCUGUUUUUCACUCCUACGAGCUCCACUUAAAUAUUUCAUUAGCUAUAGGUAAGUGACAUUUUGGUAAGGAUCCACAAAUACCACAUAUAGAGAGACUUGAGAGAACCAUUGCUGGGAACUCUAAGUUUUAUUUUGAAAACUUAUGAAAAACUCUGGAACAAAGGUGAAGUAUAGACAGG
rnacentral:lncRNA from 1 species